UACCUGCUGUCAGCUGAACUUGUGUCCCCC
rnacentral:piRNA from 1 species